rnacentral:rRNA from 1 species
CCUACGGGAGGCAGCAGUGAGGAAUAUUGGUCAAUGGGCGGAAGCCUGAACCAGCCAAGUCGCGUGAGGGAAUAAGGCCCUACGGGUCGUAAACCUCUUUUGCCGGGGAGCAAGGGCGGGGACGUGUCCCGGCCCGGAGAGUACCCGGAGAAAAAGCAUCGGCUAACUCCGUGCCAGCAGCCGCGGUAAUACGGAGGAUGCGAGCGUUAUCCGGAUUUAUUGGGUUUAAAGGGUGCGUAGGCGGGAUGCCAAGUCAGCGGUAAAAAUGCGGUGCUCAACGCCGUCGAGCCGUUGAAACUGGCGUUCUUGAGUGGGCGAGAAGUAUGCGGAAUGCGUGGUGUAGCGGUGAAAUGCAUAGAUAUCACGCAGAACUCCGAUUGCGAAGGCAGCAUACCGGCGCCCUACUGACGCUGAGGCACGAAAGCGUGGGUAUCGAACAGGAUUAGAUACCCGGGUAGUC